rnacentral:tRNA from 1 species
CUAUAGCUCAGCUGGGAGAGCGCUUCAAUGGCAUUGAAGAGGUCAGGGGUUCGAAUCCCCUUAGGUCCA